UCAGGAAUAAGGGAUUCCCCUGGCUCCUCGUGACCCUUCCCUGCAGCCUCAAUAGCAGAAAAGUGAAGAGGACAGUGAAACUGA